rnacentral:rRNA from 1 species
AUUGAACGCUGGCGGAAUGCUUUACACAUGCGAGUCGAACGGCAGCACGGACUUCGGUCUGGUGGCGAGUGGCGAACGGGUGAGUAACAUAUCGGAACGUAUCCAAUAAUGGGGGAUAACGAGUCGAAAGAUUCGCUAAUACCGCAUACGCCCUACGGGGGAAAGCUGGGGACCUUCGGGCCUGGCGUUAAUGGAGCGGCCGAUAUCUGAUUAGCUAGUUGGUGAGGUAAAGGCUCACCAAGGCGACGAACAGUAGCUGGUCUGAGAGGACGACCAGCCACACUGGAACUGAGACACGGUCCAGACUCCUACGGUAGGCGGCAGUGGGGAAUUUUGGACAAUGGGCGCAAGCCUGAUCCAGCCAUUCCGCGUGAGUGAAGAAGGCCUUCGGGUUGUAAAGCUCUUUCGCAAGGGAAGAAAACUUAGCCACUAACAUUGGUUGAGGUUGACGGUACCUUGAUAAGAAGCACCGGCUAACUACGUGCCAGCCGCCGCGGUAA